rnacentral:snRNA from 1 species
AUUGCUUCUCAGCCUUUUGGCUAAGAUCAAGUGCAGAAUCCAAAUGCAAAUAUAUAUAUAUAUAUAUAUAUUUUUUUUUUUUUUUUUUUAGACAAGGUCUCACCAUGCAGUACAGGCUGACCUUGAAUUUGCAGCCAUCCUCAUGCCUCAGCCUCCCGAG